rnacentral:lncRNA from 1 species
GACAUUCUUAAAAAAAUAAUUACCAGACCUAACCUUUUAGUACAGCUCAUAGAACAACCAAGCAGACACUCACGGGGCGCCACUGCCCCUCGCGCCCCCAGCGGGUUCCCACAUCAGCAGCAGCUGGCGUUAGUGUGGACUGUCGUUUCAGCAGAGAGCCACGCUGAGACGCCAGUUUAGCUGGAGUCCACACGCUCCCGGAGCGUCCCCCUCAGCAGAAGCUCCCUUUUUUUUUAAAAAAAAAGAUUUAUUUAUUUUUCAUUUCUUCUCCCCACCCCGACUUGUCUACUCUCUGUCCAUUCACUGUAUGUUCUUCCAUGUCCGCUUGUAUUCUUGUCAGCGGCACCAGGAAUCUGUGUCUCUCUGUUGUGUCAUCUUGUUGUGUCAUUUCUCCGUGUGUGCGGCACCAUUCCUGGGCAGGCUGCACUUUCUUUCGCGCUGGGUGGCUCUCCUUAUGGGGCACACUCCUUGACAGUGGGGCUCCCCUACACGGGGGACACCCCUGCGAGGCACGGCACUCCUUGUGCACAGCACUGCACAUGGGCCAGCUCCACACGGGUCAGGAGGCCCCGGGGUUUGAACCGCGGACCUCCCAUGUGGUAGGCGGAUGUCCUAUCCAUUGGGCCAAAUUUGCUUCCUGAAACUCCCUUUUAAAAACAUCCGUCCAGCAUCUGCCGUUCGGGCAUCCGUCCAGCACGCUCGGGCUCCUCCCUGAGGCCGGCCUGGGGUCCACCUGCGGCUGGCCGUGGGCCCAUGGCGCCUCCGGCCAGGACCCCCGCCCUCCGCGCCAGUCCACCCAGCCCGGCCUGGCCCUCCUCCACCUGCAGGUGCAGCCGGGAACUUCCUGUGUCCGGCCGGCGCGUUGUCCUUCAGAGCCUUCAAGACCGUGGUGGACAUCGACACCAUCGGCACCUUCAACGUGUGCCGUGUGCUCUACGAAAAGUUAUUCCGGGACCACGGAGGCGUGAUCGUCAACAUCACCGCAACUCUGAACCACCGGGGGCAGAUGCUGCAGGUGCACGCGGGCUCCGCCAAGGCGGUCGUGGGUACGCGCCCCUACGCCCGGCAGUUUCCCU